GCUCGGCACGGCUCUGCCCGGCUCGGCACGGCUCGGUGGGACUGCUCCCGGCAGGGACCCGGCCGCAGGGAGGCUCGGCGGGGCGCCCGGCGGGCCGGGCUGUGCUCUGAGAAAGCGCUUCUUGUACCUGCGGCUCUGUUCGGCUGUACGAAACUCUCUGUCUGAGACACACACACAGAAAAAAAAAAAAAAAAAAAAAAGAAAAAAAAAUCUUUUUCUAUUCGUUAGAAGAAAUACGAGCUGUUUUAGAUGCAUCGAGCUGCUGGACUUUAUAUUUAUUUUUGCAUUUAAACUGUUGACUGCGUUAAUUUAAUAUGUUUCUACCUGAAUGUCUGUUAUUAUUUCCAUAAAAGAGUAAUAAAAUCCGAUAUAUUUGCACAGUACCUACCGGGCUGUCCUUAUUUCGGGGCCCUGCUGUCCUCUUCGGGCUCUCCUUGCCCCUCUGGAGAGGGCUGCAGGCACUCGGAGGCUGCCGGCAGCCCGUGCAGAAGCAGCAGCGCUGUCCCCAGGGAUGCUGCUCGGAGAGGUUUCCCGCUCCGUGCCGCCAGGUACGCGCUGAUGAGACAGGACAUGAGCCAGGCUGAUUUUAGACAACUUCAUUUGCCUGUCAGAGAUCUUUGUAUUAAAGUAGCUUGAUGUUUAAGGACUGUUUGGAAGUGCUUGUGCCCGAAAACGUUAGCGCAGCCGGGCAGGUGGAGUUUGUUCAGAGCUGCACGUGUGCUUUCUGCUCUCUUUCUCCUUUCCUAUCUUUGCCAUGUGGUUUCCUCAUGCUGCGGGGUUUUUCCAGCGUUUUUCUGCGCUCCGUGAGUUGCUGUUGUCCCUUCCAGCCCCCGAGCCGUGUGGUGCUGCAGCCGGAGCAAGCACAGAUUGCUGCACGUGCAAAUGAGCCAGUCCUGAGGAGCACCCAGCGGGGAGGGGAUCACUUCUGCCCCUUUUCCUGCCGAACUCCAGAAGCUGCCGCUGAUUUCAGCCAGACACCGGCGGGCGAGCGCGAAGGCAGAGGGACGGGAGGAGGCGCGUGGUGCCACACAUCAGCAGAGGCAGCUGCCGGAGGUGACCUUUUAAAUUGCUCCCAUAAAACCUGUUCAAGUGCCCCUGUCAGAGCCUUCAGACUUUUUAUAUGCUUUGCUAAGACCUUUUAUUUAAUGCUGUUAUGCUAAGGAAGCGGUAGGGCCCUUUGCUGUGUGCAGGAGGACUACGGAUGACAGUGUGUGAGCAGGGGAGCCUGUGAGCGCUCCAGCACCAUGACCCCCGCGUGCCCCAUCCCCGCCUGCCCACAGGGAUACUGUAGCCUGGUCACCACCCAGGAGGAGCUCUGCCCUCUCUGUUGCUCACCUAGCACCAUCAGCACAGUCCCAGCUGCUCCCACCACACCAUCUCUCUUCUGAG
rnacentral:lncRNA from 1 species